AGAUGUGAGGCAGAUCUGACUGCGACAUCUGUCAUGCCAUUGAUUAUCAGGGUUAUUUGGCUGAUUUGACUGGUGAGGAAGGUGUUCCCUUCCUUCCUCCCAGCUCUAUGUGUGUCCUUCCUCCCAGCUCUAUGUGUGUCCUUCCUGUAGCUGCCUGCUUGCUCAAAGAAGAUGACAUUCCUUGAUAAAGGAAAAGACUGUUCUUUGGUCAAAGAUAAACAAGUAGCUGCCCUCCCGUGCAAGAAUUUCCAAACAAGUUCUCAAGGCAUUCUUAGUAUUCUUAACAGUGUUCUACUCAAUGGCAAAAACAAACAAACAAACAAAAACCCAAAACGUUGCUUU
rnacentral:snRNA from 1 species